GCUUGGAGAGCACUAAUCCCUCCUGCUCUUGGAGGAGUAAAGCCUAUUCUGGUUAGCAUUAGCCAGUUGACCAACAUGGCCCAGGCAGGGCUGCAUUUCAUUAUGUGUUUGGUCUAUUCUGAGUAUAUUUGCUCUUUUUUAAAGAGACAAAAAAUAAGUGUGAAUUUAAGUGUUUAACCUAUUCAAUUAGGUGCUCUGAUUACCACCAACAUUCAGUUGUGGAUUUUGUAGAGCCCAGAACAGAACGGCUAUAAGGUAAAACGUGUUUUGGUUAUGUCAUUUAGAUGUUCACAGGAGCUCCCAGGAUAUUCUUCCACAUUGAGUGGAGCGCAGGCAACUCCAAAUUGUUGGAGUCCAACAGCUAUAAAGCUUACUAGCAACGCAUUCCAGAGAGCAAGCACUCAUGCGUUGCAGUAUCGGAACGUGGCGACGAACAGUUACUCAGAGCUGCUGAGGAAGGCAUGCAUUGUUGAACUCACUUCUUUAAAUACUCUGGGGGAUGUCUGAUAUAGACCAGGAGUUUGACACUUUGCAUGCUGGUGCUCCGUUUUGUCAACCACGCGUGCCCCAAAACGGUGAACAAUACGUUUGUGUGCGUCGCGGUUGGUGCGUGAAUAUUACAGUAGGUCUCCCUUAUUUGACGAACGUGUCCAGAAAAGCCGUAUCGAUGUUGUCUCGAGAUUCAGCUGAGAUUCAGUCAAGUCUCCGACUCUGGUCGCGUCUAGACCCCUGGGGAGGGUCCAUGGAGGAGAACCUGAUGGAGAGGGUGCAUACUCUAGCAGUGGUUCUGCCUGGAGAAAACGGCCACGGUAAAUGGGAGGUAAGAGGCAUACAGACAGAAUGUUUCGUUGGAGCAAUACCAAAUCAUACUGUGUAUCUGGAAUGGAUUGACUGAGUACGAAAAAGGUAUGAAAAUGUAUGCACUCACUAAGAUGCUCUCGAUAAGAGCAUCUGCUAAAUGACUAAAAUGUAAAUUGGUUCCUUUUAUAUUUGAACGUCAUUGAAAUGAAUUUUAAACCAUGAAUAUAACUCUAUACUGUGGACACAUGUGGUACACCUGCACUGUGUUUCUAUCUCUACAGUAAACCUGUGAUGGACAUACUGGUCACACUCUGUGCCCAGUACCACCUGAAUCCAUCUGACUUCACCAUAGAACUCCAGUCAGCCAAUAGAAACAAAAUCUCCUUCAAAACCAGCUCUCUGAUUGGAGCCAUGGAGGCUCAGAGGAUCCUACUGAAACCUAAAGGGGGAGAGGAGAAGAUAAGGAGGCUGUACGUGCCAGAGGUCACUGUACGUCUGCUAAUCACCUACAAGAAGAACCAUAAGGCCGUUGUGAGGGUCAACCCUAGAGUCCCUCUGGAGCAGCUCCUGCCUGCGGUGUGUGUGAGUUUGACCUGGAGUCCACCAUUUUACUGAGAGCCAACGGCUCUGAAGAACCUUUAAACCUGAGCAGGUCCCUCGAUGACUAUGGACUAAGGGAACUGUACGCCAAGGAAACAGCAGGGUCUCUCAGUGAGUGCCCCGGCCUCACGUGGUCUGAAAAACCAGCGGGUGGCCAGCAUCAGCAUGAACUCCCUGGGUGUCCACUCCUCCAACACCCUGCCCAUGGACGACACCAUGGCCAAGAAGAAAACGGGCACCCACGCUCCACAUGGCAGGCUCCCAAAGCGUCCCUGCCAACCUCAACGUCCAGCCGGGUCUCCAGAAGGUUCCACUGACUGGGUCUUCAGUGCUCCAACCGUGUCUAGUCCUAGUGAGCUUUACCAGACCGCACCAAAAUCACCAGUGGUAGUCAAGCAGGAGAGUUCAGAGAUGGAGGCCCAGGAGGAGUCCGAAUCACCCACAGACAGUCUAGAUUCAGAACUACAGAAAAGUCUAGAGGUACAAGUCCCGGAGGAGUCGGAUACACUCUCAGAGAUUCCCAACCCAUACACGGCUGACCUGGAGAUGAAAUGGAAUACCUGGAGAUGGAAUACGUGGAGAUGAGGUGACCUCAACUCCUGAACUACUAGAGAGCAGGGGAUUGUUCCGGAAGCCCAGUCUGGUGAUAGAGGAGUCAGCAGAGGACCGUUUCUUUUCCCCUCCUCCCCCUUCCCCUCCCCGUGUGUGCUAUGGUAAGGAGGAGACGGAGCCGACCCAGUUACGAGUGAGGCCUCCUGGGGGAAGAAAUCACCGCCCUCCCUCUUAUCCUCCCCCUUCUCUUCCUACGCUGAGUCGUACCUUCUGUGAACCAGCUGCGGGAGACAAUCAGACUAAUGCCCCUUCAUCACCCAAACCGAACAUGAUUAAUUUGACUUCACCCAAACCAUACGUGCCUGCAGCCCUGGCCAGGAGAACUGCCAUCCCCUCCUGCUUUGCCCAGGCUGUGGCUCUAGCCGUCCGUAAGUCCCAGUCCUCCUGUCCCCGAAGGCCAGCACCAGACUUGUUUUCCUCCCUCUCAGGCUCCUCACCCUCCACUGCCUUACCGCUAACCAAUGUGGUGAGUGGUGAUUUUUGACCUGCACUAACACGGUGAUGACAUGCAAAUUUUGCCAUUGUAGCAACUGGAUUGGACCCAAAAUUGAACCAUUGGUUACCCCUAUCAUACUACGAUGUGCUUGCUUCCAUACAUAAAGUUGCCAUUCUUAACUUUCAUGAUCUCUCUGUGAACCUCACAUGUUCCACAGGUGAACUCUUUACACCAGCGGAGGCUGGUGGGAGGAGCCAUAGGAGGACGGGCUCAUUGGAAUGGCUGGAUUGGAAUAAAUGGAACGGAGUCAAACAGGGUUUCCAUGUGUUGGAUACCAUUCCAUUGCAGACAUUCAGCCUGUCCUCAUACAGCUCAUCCCACCAGCCUCCACUGCUUUACACAGGAAAGAAGGGAAGGGCAUAUCUUGAUGUAAGUGUGUAUAUUCUACAGUGGGAUUUUUUUCUAUCUGGAAAGAUGUUGUUUGUUACAUUAAAUGGCGACAAAUGCCUUUCUAAACAAUCCUGGCAGACUGGUAUUCUUCUGAGACACCUUGGUGUUUGUCUGUUAUCUUCAUGUGUAUGUGCAAAAUGUGGUAUAUGGCCCUGUAGAAUACCUCUAUUGACAUGCUCACACUCUGUGUGACCUGGUGGAGGAAGGACCUAAUCUAAACUGGUGAUAUUUGUGUCUCUUGUCCUACAGGGGCCAUAAUGGCUUCAUAGUAAAUCUGUGAAAUGGAAGUUCCUGUUUAGGGUGAGGCAACUGCAGUGAGGUAGAGCCGGCAACCACAUAGUCACAUGACCUCCAAAUGGACCCCACUUAUGGACCGACAAAUUCCAAAGAAGCCCAGGCCCCUGUUUUUCACUGGGAGUCAGCACAUUAUAAAAACAACAUUUAUCCAAGACUUCAUCCAAGAGUUUGAUUAGUGUACAGGUCAUUUUAUUUUCACUGAAUGUUUGUUUUUGUAUCUGUUAUUAAGAUAUUUGACUUGUAUGCGAAGAUGUAUUUAUUUGACCUUGGUAGUACAGUAUUUAUGGGAUCUACAUGUUUGUACUUGGAGUUUCCUGUUGACUCAUUAGUGUUGAAAUGUGCCAAAACCGAGAUUAAAUAAUACGUAAUCUCUCCUCAGUAUCUCUUUUUGUUUGUCAAGGACAGAGAACUCUGAAAUAAGAUGACUUAAAAUGUUACGUUUCAUUCUGUACAAAUCAAGAAUUAUUCUAUAUAUUUUCUUCCAGACAUGUAUCAUUUCUAUAAGUAAAUGAUACGCCAUUAUCAACAAGUGUGUUGCUUUCUUUUGCCACCGGAGGGCAGGAGCACACUUCACAAAUUUCUCAUGUACAGAACCACUGUGUGAGCUGUUUUGUGAUCCACACUUGAUCAAUUAUUAGCAUUGACAUAUCCAGAUAUUAAAGAAGAGCAUCAAUUAUCAUUCAUCUUCUUUGUCUUUACUGGUUAUACUAUAUAUUUUUAAUGGAUUAGUGUGUUUUAUUUCAAGCCUUGUUAUCUUGUCCGUUAUCGCGUUAUGGUUGCUAUUUCACAAUGAUAUUCUACAGGAUAUUCUACACGGUGCCAUGGUUAGAGCAUUGCAGGAAGAUAUGUAAUAUUAAAUCUACAUGAUGUGAAAUAAAUAACGUUCUUGCUAUGCAUUGUUGUUCAGAGUGCAACACAUUACUGAAUAAACUGAGAUGAUGUACAG
rnacentral:lncRNA from 1 species